UAGAGUUUUNACCUGGCUCAGGAUKAACGCUGGCGGCGUGCUUAACACAUGCAAGUCGAACGAACCUUCGGGUUAGUGGCGGACGGGUGAGUAACGCGUGGGAAUCUGCCCUCAGGAGGGGGAUAACGGUUGGAAACGACCGCUAAUACCCCAUAUGCCGAGAGGUGAAACGAAUUUCGCCUGAGGAUGAGCCCGCGUCUGAUUAGCUAGUUGGUGGGGUAAAGGCCUACCAAGGCAUCGAUCAGUAGCUGGUCUGAGAGGAUGAUCAGCCACACUGGGACUGAGACACGGCCCAGACUCCUACGGGAGGCAGCAGUGGGGAAUUUUCCGCAAUGGGCGCAAGCCUGACGGAGCAACGCCGCGUGAGGGAUGAAGGCCUCUGGGCUGUAAACCUCUUUUCUCAAGGAAGAAGAUCUGACGGUACUUGAGGAAUAAGCCACGGCUAAUUCCGUGCCAGCAGCCGCGGUAAUACGGGAGUGGCAAGCGUUAUCCGGAAUUAUUGGGCGUAAAGCGUCCGCAGGCGGCCUUGAAAGUCUGUCGUUAAAGCGUGGAGCUUAACUCCAUUUCGGCGGUGGAAACUACAAGGCUUGAGUGUGGUAGGGGCAGAGGGAAUUCCCGGUGUAGCGGUGAAAUGCGUAGAUAUCGGGAAGAACACCAGUGGCGAAGGCGCUCUGCUGGGCCAUAACUGACGCUCAUGGACGAAAGCUAGGGGAGCGAAAGGGAUUAGAUACCCCUGUAGUCCUAGCCGUAAACGAUGAACACUAGGUGUCGGGGGAAUCGACCCCCUCGGUGUCGUAGCUAACGCGUUAAGUGUUCCGCCUGGGGAGUACGCACGCAAGUGUGAAACUCAAAGGAAUUGACGGGGGCCCGCACAAGCGGUGGAGUAUGUGGUUUAAUUCGAUGCAACGCGAAGAACCUUACCAGGGUUUGACAUCCUGCGAAUCCCUUGGAAACUAGGGAGUGCCUUCGGGAGCGCAGAGACAGGUGGUGCAUGGCUGUCGUCAGCUCGUGUCGUGAGAUGUUGGGUUAAGUCCCGCAACGAGCGCAACCCACGUCUUUAGUUGCCAGCAUUUAGUUGGGCACUCUAGAGAGACCGCCGGUGAUAAACCGGAGGAAGGUGUGGAUGACGUCAAGUCAUCAUGCCCCUUACAUCCUGGGCUACACACGUACUACAAUGCUACGGACAAAGGGUUGCAAACUCGCGAGAGCUAGCUAAUCCCAUAAACCGUGGCUCAGUUCAGAUCGUAGGCUGCAACUCGCCUACGUGAAGGAGGAAUCGCUAGUAAUCGCAGGUCAGCAUACUGCGGUGAAUACGUUCCCGGGCCUUGUACACACCGCCCGUCACACCAUGGAAGUUGGCCACGCCCGAAGUCGUUACUCCAACCCGCAAGGGAGGAGGAUGCCGAAGGUGGGGCUGAUGACUGGGGUGAAGUCGUAACAAGGUAGCCGUACCGGAAGGUGCGGCUGGAUCACCUCCUAACAGGGAGACAACAACUGAUUUUGAUGUUUGGCUACUUUAUUGCUAGACCGAAAUCCUGUCAUCUCGAAGGUCGAUCGGUACCUCAGGGUAG
rnacentral:rRNA from 1 species